GGCCAGGUAGCUCAGUUGGUAGAGCAGCGGACUGAAAAUCCGCGUGUCGGGUGUUCGAUUCACCCCCUGGCCACCA
rnacentral:tRNA from 2 species